rnacentral:lncRNA from 1 species
UCAUCCCUUCUUUUCCUCCACUUACCAACAUCAUCAUCAUCAACAUCUCUCACAAAAAGACUCAUGUUUUAAUGUUUUAUGCAUAUAGGAAUGAAAACACAGUUUUUGUUUUACAAACAUGUUGUUACUCUAAAAAUUCUAAUUCUAAUCACUAACUUUUCAACCAAACCAAUUAACCUCGAACCAAUAUACUCUCUAAAACUUCUUGUUCUCAUGUCUCAAGUCCCAAUCAUAUCCUACCAA